GACGUAGGAGGCGAGCGUUGUCCGGAUUCAUUGGGCGUAAAGAGCGCGCAGGCGGCUUGGUAAGUCGGAUGUGAAAUCCCGAGGCUCAACCUCGGGUCUGCAUCCGAUACUGCCCGGCUAGAGGUAGGUAGGGGAGAUCGGAAUUCCUGGUGUAGCGGUGAAAUGCGCCAGAUAGUCGGGGAAGAACACCCGUGGCGAAGGCGGCUCUCUGGGACGGUACUGGACGCGUGAGACGCGAAAGCGUGGGGAGCGAACGA
rnacentral:rRNA from 1 species